rnacentral:rRNA from 1 species
CCUACGGGAGGCAGCAGUGGGGAAUAUUGGGCAAUGGGCGCAAGCCUGACCCAGCAACGCCGCGUGAAGGAAGAAGGCUUUCGGGUUGUAAACUUCUUUUGACAGGGAAGAGUAGAAGACGGUACCUGUCGAAUAAGCCACGGCUAACUACGUGCCAGCAGCCGCGGUAAUACGUAGGUGGCAAGCGUUGUCCGGAUUUACUGGGUGUAAAGGGCGUGUAGCCGGGUUGACAAGUCAGAUGUGAAAUCCUGCGGCUUAACCGCAGAACUGCAUUUGAAACUGUUGAUCUUGAGUACUGGAGAGGCAGACGGAAUUCCUAGUGUAGCGGUGAAAUGCGUAGAUAUUAGGAGGAACACCAGUGGCGAAGGCGGUCUGCUGGACAGCAACUGACGGUGAGGCGCGAAAGCGUGGGGAGCAAACAGGAUUAGAUACCCCAGUAG